AGGAAGUGACGUUAAGGGGAAGGCGCUGGAGCGGGAGCGUUUCGCCCAUUAAAUUGAAGCAAUUUACGUGGGGACGUGGACAAGUUCACGGCAGCGUUCAGUCACUAAAACUCUCUGGUGAGCGGGACUUUGGCUGCGAGAUGCUGGGAGGACAGGGACGUCACGUCAGACACCACGCCCUACUAGCCCCAGGCAGUGGUGGGUGCGCUGUGUGUCCCGGGGUUGGCGGAACUCUCCUUCUGUUUAUGGUCCCUGCUGCCUUAGGAGAGUCCCGGGUGUCCCUCCAUUUCUCACAUUUCUAUCUUCUUCCGUACUGCCCUUCACCCCUGCAGCUCCCCUCACAACCUUCCUCUGGCGCCUCCACAGCCCCCCUACACGCCCACACUUCUUGCAUGAAGCCCUUCCUGGACACCAACCUGGCGGCGUACAGAGCUGCAGGAGGGACAGUCUAUCAGGAGCAGCAGCUAGGCCAGCACCUAAAGGAGAUCACUGCCUGGAUGAAAAGCAGCCACCUGAAGCUAACCUCUGAGGAAAUGGAAGUGACAGUGGGAAAGUGAGUCUCUUUGAAAAUCUACCCAAAACCUGCUCAUCAGCCUCAGAAAAACUCUAGAUUUACCCACAUCAAGUCAAAUACUGCUUCUCUUAUUGACUCCAGAGGGUCUACUUAUGAGUAAGAUUUACACUUCUGAGUACAACACUUUAAGGACGUAAGUCUGCCACUUUUGCCUAUGCUGAAU